rnacentral:piRNA from 1 species
UAGAGUGUGCUCUCUAAACCCCAACAGC